CAACAGUUUCUGAUAAUUGCUGAACAACUAUAUCUACCGGAUCAAUAUCAACAGGUUAUGGAGCUUCAAUGAUUGGUUGUUCAACAGCCAACUGAACUGAAGGAGUGUUAUGAACAACAACCAAUCUAAUACUUGAGAUGGAAGACUCUCACUUCAGACGAGCAUUCCCAAAGGCAUACAUGUCGCAAACUCGAUUUUCAAGUUUUGAAUAACUCAAAAGGAGUCCUUAAGACAGCCUUGGUCGAAACUCGGUUCAAUAUGUACACUGCUCUCUUCAGAGCUUCAGUCCACAAGGACUUCGAAAGUUUGGAGUUGCUAAGCAUGCUCCGCACUGUGUCGAAUAAAGUUCGGUUUCUUCUUUUUUCUACACCAUUUUGGUCCAGAGAACCAGGCAUGGUAUAUUAAGCCACUAUCCCAUGCUCUUCAACAAACUUCGCAAAUAGACCAAGUGCUUGUCCAUUUUCAGUGUAUCUA